rnacentral:rRNA from 1 species
CAGUCGCCGCGGUAACACGUAGGCAGCGAGCGUUGUUCGGAAUUACUGGGCGUAAAGAGUGUGUAGGCGGUGCUCUAAGUUCGGUGUGAAAUCUCCUGGCUUAACUGGGAGGGUGCGCCGGAAACUGGAGUGCUCGAGCGUGGGAGAGGAAAGCGGAAUUCCUGGUGUAGCGGUGAAAUGCGUAGAUAUCAGGAGGAACACCUGUGGUGUAGACGGCUUUCUGGACCAUUGCUGACGCUGAGACACGAAAGCGUGGGUAGCAAACAGGAUUAGAUACCCCUGUAGUCCCUGUCUCUUAUAC